UCUUACGGGACGCAGCAGUGGGGAAUAUUGGGCAAUGGGCGCAAGCCUGACCCAGCAACGCCGCGUGAAGGAAGAAGGCUUUCGGGUUGUAAACUUCUUUUGUCAGGGACGAAGCAAGUGACGGUACCUGACGAAUAAGCUCCGGCUAAAUACGUGCCAGCAGCCGCGGUAAUACGUAUGGAGCAAGCGUUAUCCGGAUUUACUGGGUGUAAAGGGAGCGCAGACGGCAGGGCAAGUCUGAUGUGAAAGUCCGGGGCUCAACCCCGGGACUGCAUUGGAAACUGUCAGGCUAGAGGGCAGGAGAG
rnacentral:rRNA from 1 species